rnacentral:rRNA from 1 species
AACGAACGCUGGCGGCAGGCCUAACACAUGCAAGUCGAGCGAGGACUUCGGUCCUAGCGGCGGACGGGUGAGUAACGCGUGGGAACGUGCCCUUUGCUUCGGAAUAGCCCUGGGAAACUGGGAGUAAUACCGGAUGAGCCCUUUGGGGGAAAGAUUUAUCGGCGAAGGAUCGGCCCGCGUUGGAUUAGGUAGUUGGUGGGGUAAUGGCCUACCAAGGCGACGAUCCAUAGCUGGUCUGAGAGGAUGAUCAGCCACACUGGGACUGAGACACGGCCCAGACUCCUACGGGAGGCAGCAGUGGGGAAUAUUAGACAAUGGGCGAAAGCCUGAUCUAGCCAUGCCGCGUGAGUGAUGAAGGCCUUAGGGUUGUAAAGCUCUUUUACCCGGGAUGAUAAUGACAGUACCGGGAGAAGAAGCUCCGGCUAACUCCGUG